GCACGAAGCUGUUCGGCCAUGGGAGUGACCAGAGGUCCUCGGCCAUGGCGUCGAUGGCCAUUGCAAUGCCGAGAUUCGACCCGUGGCUGAGAAGACUCGCGUAAAUCGGUCGACCAAAAUGAUCACCCACGUCGGCGAGCCAUCGACAAAAAGGGGAGACGAACCGUCAGUCAGGGCAGUCACGGUGAACCUCGAUUUUGGAGAACAUCGUCGAUGAUGGCGGAAGCAAGGCCCACUCGAUCGACGGCAAUAGACCCAUGGCCCUUGUCUUCUUCUCAACAUCGAUCUUGCCAUGGUCAUUUUUUCGCCUUGACCUGUGAUCUUCUCCCCUCUCUCUUCUUUUCCCAAUCGGCUGCCUAUGUGGUCGCCAUUAAUGGAAGCAAGCCACCCGCGAUGAAGAGUGAGAAAGAAGGAGGCGGCUAGGGGUAGGGAAAAGGCAAAAACGGCAACGACGGGGGCGGCGUCAGCGCAAGGUGGAAGGCGAAACACUUGGUGAUUUGGGGUAGAGGAUGGGUUUUGACCCAUUACAUGUUCGGUCGACCCCGCUGGGUCAGAUUUGGAUCAAAGUCAACCAUGGGAUUGUUUGCGUAUUGUGUCCAUUAUUUGACACAACAACACGCCGCGUCUGAGGUCCACACGCCAGUCCGCUUUAGGAGAAAAUUAAAACAAAAGUUAAAGUUCGAUGGUAAAAUUGAAACAAAUGUCAAAACUGGAUAAUAGUGAAAAAAGACCCUAAGUUCAGUAUAAAAUAAUUUAUUUGACCAUAUUUUUAUGAUGUUUUCGACUGCAGGAAGUAGUUGGAUUUCUCUUUGGAGAUCUACAUGCAGGUUCAACGCUUUUAGUUAUCACUGUAGUGAUAUUUUACCUUUUACCCCCUUUUUAUUCCUUUCAUUUUUUUUUUUUUUUUUAUGUCUUGCUAUUUCAAUUAUGAUGUUAAAAUAGUCGUUCCUUUUUAAACUAAUUGGGUCGUGAUAGCUUUUUACCUCAAUGGGCAGGUUCUCAGGACUGAAUGCUUGGGAAAUCGGAGAGCUCGUAUCCUACACAGAGAAGUAGCUCUUCGUUGUUACUUUCUCAGUGACCCAGCUCAGCUUCACUAACGCUUCAGGCGUGGUUAUUUUCUUCUACUAGGGAAAGGGUUGUGCUCGGUAGAGGAAGAACGUGUUGAUUCACGCCAUCCACCAGGUGAAGUACGAGAUUUCACGCUUUUAUGAGAAAGUUGAUGAGACGCUAAAGCUUAUUCGUAAACAGGUUGUGAGUUCCAUUAUCCAUUGCUCUUCCUCUCUUCCCCAUUUUUAGAGCAAUAUGUUUUCUGGCCGAAUAGACUAUUUUAUCGGGAGCUUAGGGUCAUUUUUGAAUUUUAUCCAGUUUUGACAUUUAGUUCAAUUUGGUCAUCAAAUUUAAACUUUGAUUUCAAUUUUAUCCCUAAGCAGACAUGCGAGAGCCCCAACAUACGUGGUGCUUAGGUGGCGUGCUGAUGUGUCAUUUGUCGGCCACAUCAGCAAAAGAAAUCCAUCAUCUUCAACCUUCAGGCCAUUAGGUUUUACAUCCUAAACAGUUUCCGCCGCCUUCCUUCAUCGUCGGUCGCCUUUUUGUUCUCUCAUCGCCAAUAACCCGAGGCCUCAACCCUGUGGUCACGCCAUGCGAGCCAUGUCGAGCACGAAGGUGUUCGGCCAUAGGAGUGACCAGAGGUCCUCGGCCAUGGCGUCGAUGGCCAUUGCAAUGCCGAGAUUCGACCCGUGGCUGAGAAGACUUGCGUCAAUCGGUCGACCAAAAUGAUAACCCACGUCGGCGAGCCAUCGACCAAAAGGGGAGACGAACCAUCAGUCAGGGCAGUAAUGGUGAACCUCGAUUUUGGAGAACAUCGUCGACGAUGGCGGAAGCAAGGCCCACUCGAUUGACAGCAAUAGACCCAUGGCCCUUGUCUUCUUCUCAACAUCAAUCUCGCCAUGGUCAUUUUUUCCCCUUGACCUCCGAUCUUCUCCCCUCUCUCUUCUUUUCCCAAUCGGCUGCCUUUGUGGCCGCCAUUAAUGGAAGCAUGCCACCCGCGAUAAAGAGUGAGAAAGGAGGAGGCGGCUACAGACAGGGAAAAGGCAAAAACGGCAACGACGGGGGCGGCGUCAGCGCAAGGUGGAAGGCGAAACACUUGGUGAUUUGGGGUAGAGGAUGGGUUUUGACCCAUUACAUGUUCGGUCGACUCCGCUGGGUCGGAUUUGGAUCAAAGUCAACCAUGGGAUUGUUUGCCUAUUGUGUCCAUUAUUUGAGACAAUAACACGCUGCGUCUGCAGGGCUACACGCCAGUCCGCUUCAGUAUAAAAUUAAAACAAAAGUUAAAGUUCGAUGGUAAAAUUGAAACAAAUGUCAAAACUAGAUAAUAGUGAAAAAAGAUCCUAAGUUCAGUAUAAAAUAAUUUAUUUGACCAUAUUUUUAUGAUGUUUUCGACUACAGGAAGUAGUUGGAUUUCUCUUUGGAGAUCUACAUGCAGGUUCAACGCUUUUAGUUAUCACUGUAGUUAUAUUUUACCUUUUACCCCUUUUUUAUUCCUUUCAUUUUUUUUUUUUUAUGUCUUGCUAAUUCAAUUAUGAUGUUAAAAUAGUCGUUCCUUUUUAAACUAAUUGGGUCGUGAUAGCUUUUUACCUCAAUGGGGAGGUUCUCAGGACUGAAUGCUUGGGAAAUCGGAGAGCUCGUAUCCUACACAGAGAAGUAGCUCUUCGUUGUUACUUUCUCAGUGACCCAGCUCAGCUUCACUAACGCUUCUGGCGUGGUUAUUUUCUUCUACUAGGGAAAGGGUUGUGCUCGGUAGAGGAAGAACGUGUUGAUUCACGCCAUCCACCAGAUGAAGUACGAGAUUUCACGCUCUUAUGAGAAAGUUGAUGAGACGCUAAAGCUUAUUCUUAAACAGGUUGUGAGUUCCAUUAUGCAUUACUCUCCCUUUCUUCCCCCUUUUUAGAGCAAUAUGUUUUCUGGCCGAAUAGAUUAUUUUAUCCGGAGCUUAGGGUCAUUUUUGAAUUUUAUCCAGUUUUGAGAUUUAGUUCAAUUUGGUCAUCAAAUUUAAACUUUGAUUUCAAUUUUAUCCCUAAGCGGACAGACGAGAGCCCCAACAUAUGUGGUGCUUAGGUGGCGUGCUGAUGUGUUAUUUGUCGGACACAUCAGCAAAAGAAAGCCAUGGCCCUUGUCUUCUUUUGAACAUCGAUCUCGCCAUGGUCAUUUUUUCUCCUUGACCUCCGAUCUUCUCCCCUCUCUCUUCUUUUCCCAAUCGGUUGCCUAUGUGGCCGCCAUUAAUGGAAGCAAGCCAUCGGCGAUGAAGAGUGAGAAAGAAGGAGGCGGCUAGGGGCAGGGAAGAGGCCAAAACGGCAACGACGGGAGCGGCGUCAGCGCAAGGUGGAAGGCGAAACACUUGGUGAUUUGCGGUAGAGGAUGGGUUUUGACCCAUUACAUGUUCGGUCGACCCCGCUGGGUCGGAUUUGGAUCAAAGUCAACCAUGGGAUUGUUUGCCUAUUGUGUCCAUUAUUUGACACAACAACACGCCGCGUCUGCAGGGCUACAUGCCAGUCCGCUUCAGUAGAAAAUUAUAGCAAAAGUUAAAGUUCAGUGGUAAAAUUGAAACAAAUGUCAAAACUGGAUAAUAGUGAAAAAAGACCUUAAGUUCAGUAUAAAAUAAUUUAUUUGACCAUAUCUUUAUGAUGUUUUCGACUACAGGAAGUAGUUGGAUUGUUCUUUGGAGGUCUACAUGCAGGUUCUCAGGACUGAAUGCUUGAGAAAUAGGAGAGCUCGUAUCCUACACAGAGAAGUAGCUCUUCGUUGUUACUUCCUCAGUGACCCAGCUCAGCUUCACUUACACUUCAGGCGUGGUUAUUUUCUUCUACUAGGGAAAGGGUUGUGCUCGGUUGAGGAAGAACGUGUUUAUCCACGCCAUCCACCAGGUGAAGUACGAGAUUUCACGCUCUUAUGAGAAAGUUGAUGAGACGCUAAAGCUUAUUCUUAAAGAGGUUUGCUGGCUUUGGUGGUUGUCCCUCCCAGCCAUUUCCAUCACUGUUCGCUGUUUGGGAGCAUUCUUUGUGAAAUUUCUCACAAGAGACAGGCUACAGCAUCUCUAGCUUCCUCUAUUGCGUAGGGAAAGUAUUGCUCAACUGGUGUGGGCUUUCUUCAACUAUUGGGCUUAUUGCCACUAAGAUAGAUCUACAACAAGCAGGCAAAAGACUAGACUAUAUGCACAGAGGAUCCAUUUGAGAUAAACUCAUGAUCUUGGACGAGUGGUGGACAUAAAAGUCGUGAGUGAGGAAUUCGAACGAGCAGCAGAAAUCACGCAGAAUGAUCCUGAUCCUUGUGUAAGGCUCUUCGAGCCAUAUGGUCAUAGCUAAUUUUGCCUGUUGGGCGCAUUGUGAUUGUAUUUUCUAUUUCUCUAGAUACUUAGGGAGGGGUUGAUCCAGCUUGUAAAUUCCCUCUCCUCUUCUCUUUUAUCAAGAACAUUGAUACAUACAUAUA